UGGCAAAGCAUACAUACAGUCUA
rnacentral:siRNA from 1 species